CUGCAGCCCGAGUGGUGACCGAUAUUAUUGAGCCUAAAGCGUCCGUAGCCGGUCUGGUAAAUUCUUGGGUAAAUCGGGCAGCUUAGCUGUCCGACUUCCGAGGAGACUGCCAGACUUGGGACCGGGAGAGGUCAGAGGUACUCCAGGGGUAGGGGCUAAAUCCUGUAAUCCUUGGGGGACCACCAGUGGCGAAGGCGUCUGACUAGAACGGAUCCGACGGUAAGGGACGAAACCCUGGGGCGCAAACCGGAUUAGAUACCCGAGUAGUCC
rnacentral:rRNA from 1 species